rnacentral:rRNA from 1 species
CGGCACCCCGAGUGGUCGGGACGUUUAUUGGGCCUAAAGCAUCCGUAGCCGGUUCUACAAGUCUUCCGUUAAAUCCACCUGCUUAACAGAUGGGCUGCGGAAGAUACUAUAGAGCUAGGAGGCGGGAGAGGCAAGCGGUACUCGAUGGGUAGGGGUAAAAUCCGUUGAUCCAUUGAAGACCACCAGUGGCGAAGGCGGCUUGCCAGAACGCGCUCGACGGUGAGGGAUGAAAGCUGGGGGAGCAAACCGGAUUAGAUACCCGAGUAGUCC